AGUUUGAUCAUGGCUCAGAACGACGCUGGCGGCAUGCCUAACACAUGCAAGUCGAACGAGACUUCGGUCUAGUGGCGGACGGGUGAGUAACGCGUAGGAACCUGCCAAGCAGUGGGGAAUAACAGCUGGAAACGGCUGCUAAUACCGCAUACGCCCUUCGGGGGAAAGAUUUAUCGCUGUUUGAGGGUCCUGCGUUCGAUUAGCUAGUUGGUGAGGUAAAGGCUCAUCAAGGCGACGAUCUGUAGCGGGUCUGAGAGGAUGAUCCGCCACACUGGAACUGAGACACGGUCCAGACUCCUACGGGAGGCAGCAGUGGGGAAUUUUGGACAAUGGGCGCAAGCCUGAUCCAGCCAUGCCGCGUGAGUGAAGAAGGCCUUCGGGUUGUAAAGCUCUUUCGGCCGGGAAGAAAUCGCACAGGUUAAUACCCUGUGUGGAUGACGGUACCGGAAUAAGAAGCACCGGCUAACUACGUG
rnacentral:rRNA from 1 species